rnacentral:rRNA from 1 species
AAAAGCUUUCUUUAAUUGAAUAAUUGAAUUUAAUUUUUUUAGUGCAAAAGCAAAAAUAAAAAUUAGGGACAAGAAGACCCUAUGAAUUUUUUAUUAAAUUUUAUAAAACUUUAUAUAAAAUUUAAUUUAAUUGGGGUGAUGGAAAAAGAAUAAAUAUCUUUUUUUUUAAAAAAAAUUGGUUCCGUUUUUAGCGAUUAAAUGAAAAAAAUACUCUAGGGAUAACAGCGUAAUAAUUUUGGAUAGUUCAUAUAGAUAAAAUAGUUUGCGACCUCGAUGUUGGAUUAGGAUUCUUUUUUGGUGAANAAGUUAAAAAAA